AGAGUUUGAUUCUGGCUCAGAUUGAACGCUGGCGGCAUGCUUUACACAUGCAAGUCGAACGGCAGCACGGGUGCUUGCACCUGGUGGCGAGUGGCGGACGGGUGAGUAAUGCAUCGGAACGUGUCCUAAAGUGGGGGAUAACGCAUCGAAAGAUGUGCUAAUACCGCAUAUUCUCUGAGGAGGAAAGUAGGGGAUCGAAAGACCUUAUGCUUUUGGAGCGGCCGAUGUCUGAUUAGCUAGUUGGUAGGGUAAUGGCUUACCAAGGCGACGAUCAGUAGUUGGUCUGAGAGGACGACCAGCCACACUGGGACUGAGACACGGCCCAGACUCCUACGGGAGGCAGCAGUGGGGAAUUUUGGACAAUGGGCGCAAGCCUGAUCCAGCAAUGCCGCGUGAGUGAAGAAGGCCUUCGGGUUGUAAAGCUCUUUCAGUUGAAAAGAAAAAGCCGUGACUAAUAAUCAUGGUUCAUGACGGUAUCAACAGAAGAAGCACCGGCUAACUACGUGCCAGCAGCCGCGGUAAUACGUAGGGUGCAAGCGUUAAUCGGAAUUACUGGGCGUAAAGGGUGCGCAGGCGGUUCUGUAAGUCAGAUGUGAAAUCCCCGGGCUUAACCUGGGAACUGCGUUUGAAACUGCAGAGCUAGAGUGCGGCAGAGGGAGGUGGAAUUCCAUGUGUAGCAGUGAAAUGCGUAGAGAUAUGGAAGAACAUCGAUGGCGAAGGCAACCUCCUGGGCUAGCACUGACGCUCAUGCACGAAAGCGUGGGGAGCAAACAGGAUUAGAUACCCUGGUAGUCCACGCCCUAAACUAUGUCAACUAGUUGUCGGGCCUUAAUAGGCUUGGUAACGUAGCUAACGCGUGAAGUUGACCGCCUGGGGAGUACGGUCGCAAGAUUAAAACUCAAAGGAAUUGACGG
rnacentral:rRNA from 1 species